ACACUUCCUAUGUUUGCAUAAUAGAGUUGAUAUUAGUAUUAAACUAAAAAAAUAAAUGGUCAUUUAUACUUGUAAAACAAAUAAAAAUUCAUAAUAAAUAUCAUAAUAUCGCUCCAUAUGCUAUCUUUAAAGUCACCGUCAAUGUCAUGCCAAUUAUUUAUCAAAAUAACCGCUUUGCUUCUACCCUGUAAUGCCAAGUAACCUA
rnacentral:lncRNA from 1 species